rnacentral:tRNA from 1 species
GUCCAGUGUAGUCUAGUGGACAUGGCAUCUGCCCGGUAAGCGGAACACAGUGAGUUCCUUUCCCAUCCCUGGACA